rnacentral:rRNA from 1 species
GAUGAACGCGGCGGCGUGCCUAAUACAUGCAAGUCGAGCGAGAAGCUUGGAAAUGACGCUUCGGUUGAUUUUCCAAGCGGACAGCGGCGGACGGGUGAGUAACGCGUAGGCAACCUGCCCCUGACAGAGGGAUAGCCAUUGGAAACGAUGAUUAAAACCUCAUGACACCGUAGUAGCACAUGCUACAUCGGUCAAAGAUUUAUCGGUCAGGGAUGGGCCUGCGUCUGAUUAACUGGUUGGUGAGGUAACGGCUCACCAAGGUGACGAUCAGUAGCCGACCUGAGAGGGUGAUCGGCCACAUUGGAACUGAGACACGGUCCAAACUUCUACGGAAGGCAGCAGUAGGGAAUCUUGCACAAUGGGCGAAAGCCUGAUGCAGCAACGCCGCGUGAAGGAUGAAGGCCUUCGGGUUGUAAACUUCUGUUCUAAGGGAAGAAAGAAAUGACGGUACCUUAGGA